rnacentral:tRNA from 2 species
GGCACUUUGGCGGAGUGGUUAACGCGAUGCCCUGCUACCUACAGUUGCUAGGCAUUUCCCUUGGGAGCGUGUGUUCGAAUCACACAGGUGUCG